GACGAACCGUGCGAACGUUGUUCGGAAUCACUGGGCUUAAAGGGCGCGUAGGCGGUCAAUCAAGUCUGGGGUGAAAUCUUUCGGCUUAACCGGAAAAGUGCCUGAGAUACUGGUUGACUGGAGGGAGGUAGGGGGAGCUGGAACUUCCAGUGGAGCGGUGAAAUGCGUUGAUAUUGGAAGGAACUCCGGUGGCGAAAGCGAGCUCCUGGACCUCUUCUGACGCUGAGGCGCGAAAGCUAGGGGAG
rnacentral:rRNA from 1 species